rnacentral:rRNA from 1 species
CCUACGGGAGGCAGCAGUGAGGAAUAUUGGUCAAUGGACGAGAGUCUGAACCAGCCAAGUAGCGUGAAGGAUUACUGCCCUAUGGGUUGUAAACUUCUUUUAUAUGGGAAUAAAACGUUCCACGUGUGGGAUUUUGUAUGUACCAUAUGAAUAAGGAUCGGCUAACUCCGUGCCAGCAGCCGCGGUAAUACGGAGGGUCCGAGCGUUAUCCGGAUUUAUUGGGUUUAAAGGGAGCGUAGGUGGAUUGUUAAGUCAGUUGUGAAAGUUUGCGGCUCAACCGGAAAAUUGCAGUUGAAACUGGCAGUCUUGAGUACAGUAGAGGUGGGCGGAAUUCGUGGUGUAGCGGUGAAAUGCUUAGAUAUCACGAAGAACUCCGAUUGCGAAGGCAGUUCACUGGACUGCAACUGACACUGAGGCUCGAAAGUGUGGGUAUCAAACAGGAUUAGAUACCCUAGUAGUC